rnacentral:rRNA from 1 species
GGAUAACUACGGAAAAGCUGUAGCUAAUACUUGCUUUAGCACUCUUGAUUAAGUUCUUGAGUGUGUACUUGUUAAGCCUUUUAAGAAAAAAGUUAUUAACUUAAGGAAUUAUAACAAAGAAGCAACACGUAAAUGGAUUUUCCAUUUUUUAGUGUGUAUCAAUCGAGUUUCUGACCUAUCAGCUUUUGAUGUUAGGGUAUUGGCCUAACAUGGCUAUGACGGGUAACGGGGAAUUAGAGUUCGAUUCCGGAGAGGGAGCCUGAGAAAUAGCUACCACAUCUAAGGAAGGCAGCAGGCGCGUAAAUUACCCAAUUCUAAAGAAGAGAGGUAGUGACAAGAAAUAACAAUACAAGGCCAAUCUGGCUUUGUAAUUGGAAUGAUGGGAAUUUAAAACCUUCCCAAAACUCAAUUGGAGGGCAAGUCUGGUGCCAGCAGCCGCGGUAAUUCCAGCUCCAAUAGCGUAUAUUAAAAUUGUUGCAGUUAAAACGCUCGUAGUUGAAUUUCAAAGAAUCGAUAUUUUAAGUAGCACUUUGUAGAUUAAUCCACAUAACUGAUACUACGUAUCGACUUUGUGCGCAUUUUUCUACUUAUGUGUUCUUUUAAUUAAAAUGAUUCUUUUUAAGAUCUUUCUUUUUUGCUUCGGCAUUUUAGGAGAUCUUGUUACUUUGAGUAAAUUAGAGUGUUCAAAGCAAACAGAUUAUAGCAUCUUUAUGCGUUUGAAUACUACAGCAUGGAAUAACAAAAUUGAACGAGUCAGAAUUUUGUUCUUUUUUCUUAUUUUGGCUUAGUUACGAUUAAUAGGAGUAGCUUGGGGGCAUUUGUAUUCAGAUGUCAGAGGUGAAAUUCUUAGAUUUUCUGGAGACAAACAACUGCGAAAGCAUUUGCCUAAAAUACUUCCAUUAAUCAAGAACGAAAGUUAAGGGAGUGAAGACGAUCAGAUACCGUCGUAAUCUUAACCAUAAACUAUGCCGACUAGGCUUUGGAUGAAAGAUUUUAAAAUAAGAGUUUUUUCUCUGAGGAGUUAAAACUCUUAGAUUGC